UUUCAAGGCACAUUUAGAGCAAGAGCAGCAAUAUCAAGGCACCUCAAGAGUAUUGGUGUGACCCACCCAAAGAGGGAGCCAAAUGUAUUUUACCUAAUACUGAAUGACCUUGAUAUUGUGACUAGGGAAGGCAACUGAAGGUCAGAUGAGGAUCUGCUUCAGAUCACAACUCCCUCUUGACCACAGAUUCAAACAGCUCACUUACAGAAUGAGGACCCAAUCUAUGAGUCAUCAAGAACUCUCCAAAAGCCUUCUACAGACCGUGUUAAGCCCACUGACAGGAAGACAGCAGCCAUUAAAGUCUUGAUAUUGAAGAAGAAGGAGGAGG